GAUGAACGCUAGCGGCAGGCUUAAUACAUGCAAGUCGUGGGGCAGCACAGUGUAGCAAUACAUGGGUGCGACCGGCAAACGGGUGCGGAACACGUACGCAACCUUCCUUUAACUGGAGAAUAGCCCCUCGAAAGAGGGAUUAAUACUCCGUAAUAUCCCGAUAUGGCAUCAUAACGGGAUUAUAGCUCCGGCGGUUAGAGAUGGGCGUGCGCCUGAUUAGGAGUUGGCGGGUAAUGGCCCACCAAGCCUGCGAUCAGUAACUGGUGUGAGAGCACGACCAGUCACACGGGCACUGAGACACGGGCCCACUCCUACGGGAGGCAGCAGUAAGGAUAUGGUCAAUGGACGCAAGUCUGAACCAGCCAUGCCG
rnacentral:rRNA from 1 species